rnacentral:rRNA from 1 species
UACGUAGGUGACCAGCGUUGUCCGGAUUUAUUGGGCGUAAAGAGCGUGUAGGCGGCUUGACAGGUCUGCUGUGAAAACUCGAGGCUCAACCUCGAGAUGUCGGCGGAAACCGUCUGGCUAGAGUCCGGAAGAGGAGAGUGGAAUUCCUGGUGUAGCGGUGAAAUGCGCAGAUAUCAGGAAGAACACCUAUGGCGAAGGCAGCUCUCUGGGACGGUACUGACGCUGAGACGCGAAAGCGUGGGGAGCGAACAGG